rnacentral:rRNA from 1 species
UACGUAGGGUGCAAGCGUUAAUCGGAAUUACUGGGCGUAAAGCGUGCGCAGGCGGUUUGGUAAGACAGAUGUGAAAUCCCAGGGCUCAACCUGGGAAUUGCAUUUGUGACUGCCCGGCUAGAGUGUGUCAGAGGGGGGUAGAAUUCCACGUGUAGCAGUGAAAUGCGUAGAGAUGUGGAGGAAUACCGAUGGCGAAGGCAGCCCCCUGGGAUAACACUGACGCUCAUGCACGAAAGCGUGGGGAGCAAACAGGAUUAGAUACCCUGGUAGUCCACGCCCUAAACGAUGUCUACUAGUUGUCGGGACUUAAUUGUCUUGGUAACGCAGCUAACGCGUGAAGUAGACCGCCUGGGGAGUACGGUCGCAAGAUUA